rnacentral:lncRNA from 1 species
UUAUUAUGAGCAAGUAUGUAUUAAAAACAAAAGAUAAUAGUUAUCAUGUUUGUUAUCUUGUGUGCACCAAACACAGGAUAUGAUAACUGAGUAUAACUGUUAUCCUGCUGUUAUCCUAUCCUAUCCUUAUCCUAUUUUAUAUCAUAUCUUGUCACUAUGCUAUCAUGCGCACCAAACGAGCCCUUAGUAAUUUCUGUCAACAAAAAAAAAAUAUAUAGUCAUUUCUGUAAAAAAAAUAAGUAUAACCG